rnacentral:rRNA from 1 species
UACGGGGGGGCAAGCGUUGUUCGGAAUUACUGGGCGUAAAGGGCGUGUAGGCGGCCAACUAAGUCCGACGUGAAAUCCCAGGCUUAACCUGGGAACUGCGUCGGAUACUGGAUGGCUGAAUCCGGGAGAGGAUGCGGAAUUCCAGGUGUAGCGGUGAAAUGCGUAGAUAUCGGGAGGAACACCAGUGGCGAAGGCGACUACCUGGCCGUGUUCUUGACGCUGAGGCGCGAAAGCUAGGGAGCAAACGGG